GGAGGGUGCGAGCGUUGUCCGGAAUCACUGGGCGUAAAGGGCGCGUAGGCGGCGCAGUAAGUAGGGGGUGAAAUCUCACGGCUCAACCGUGAAACGGCCUCCUAAACUGCUGUGCUUGAGCACGGUAGAGGCAGAUGGAAUUCCCGGUGUAGUGGUGGAAUGCGUAGAUAUCGGGAAGAACACCAGUGGCGAAGGCGGUCUGCUGGGCCGUUGCUGACGCUGAGGCGCGACAGCGUGGGGGAGCAAACAGGAUUAGAUACCCUGGUAGUCCGCGCCGUAAACGAUGGGUACUAGGCGUCGGGGGGGAGCGACCCCCCUUCGGUGCCGUCGCUAACGCAGUAAGUACCCCGCCUGGGGGAGUACGGCCGCAAGGCUG
rnacentral:rRNA from 1 species